rnacentral:misc_RNA from 1 species
UUGUAGCUCAGUUGGUUAGAGCGCGCGCUUGAUAAGCGUGAGGUCGGAGGUUCAAGUCCUCCCAGGCCCACCAAUUUAUCCUCGUUCUUUGUUUCUCCAAGGGUAUGAAGGUUAAGAGUAUUAAAGCCUAUUUAAUCUUUGUUUGUUUUAAAGAUUUAAUUGUAUUACCCAAGGAUUGUCUGGUAAGUUUAUCCUAUUAAGUUCAUCGGAGAGGAUUUUAAAAUCCCUUUAAAAGAAUGAAGAAUUUAAAUGAUGCCAAUCAAAAGAGUCCAAGUCAUUCAAGUUGAUGAAUAUUCGNGAGGUUGAUUGAGAAAGC